rfam:Inquilinus limosus MP06 Ilimosus_MP06_contig00029, whole genome shotgun sequence.
GGGCGCGUAGCUCAGCGGGAGAGCACUACGUUGACAUCGUAGGGGUCACUGGUUCAAUCCCAGUCGCGCCCA